AUUGAACGCUGGCGGCAGGCCUAACACAUGCAAGUCGAGCGAGAAAGGUCUUCGGACUGAGUACAGCGGCGGACGGGUGAGUAAAGCGUAGGAAUCUACCUGGUAGUGGGGGAAUAACUUGGGGAAACUCAAACUAAUACCGCAUACGCCCUACGGGGAAAGCGGGGACCGUUCGGUCCGUCGCGCUAUCAGAUGAGCCUGCGUAGGAUUAGCUAGUUGGUGAGGUAAAGGCUCACCAAGGCGACGAUCCUUAGCUGGUCUGAGAGGAUGAUCAGCCACACUGGGACUGAGACACGGCCCAGACUCCUACGGGAGGCAGCAGUGGGGAAUAUUGCGCAAUGGCGAAAGCCUGACGCAGCCG
rnacentral:rRNA from 1 species